UCAACGAUCAGUACCUGGUGCUCUGUCUCCAAAUUAAGUCAAGUUCCGGCUCUCACCUCUCUCACACACACACUUCAGUGGUCAGGGACAACUGCAGGCUGGGAGACAGCAGCUGCUCGGUCCUGAGCGGCUUAGGGCACAGUCGAGCCGGCUCGGGUCCUACUGUUUGCUCACUGCAGUUUCUCCCAUGACUCUAUCACCCAGGAAUGGAAACCACGGCUCUCUCCCAGCUCCAGUGGGCUCCCCUGCUACUGAACCCAGAUCUUCUGUGAUGAUUUUCACUUCAGGGUCAUAGAAAACAACAGCAAAGCAGGAAGGUGAUGUGAGGAUCAACUUUUCAACCUAUUUUUCCACCAUUUUAACUUGUCAUGCUUAUGUUUCCUGCAAAUGGAAUGCUGCAGUGCUGUAAAAAAGGAAAAUGCACAGCAGUUUGGACUUCACUGACUUUUUAAAGUUAUAUUUUUAUAGAAAUGAAGGAGCUAUUACACCUGGGUGAUAGCCUCUCCUGGAGCUGCUGGUAAUUGAU